rnacentral:sRNA from 1 species
GUAAAAUGUUGAAAUUGGGGCUGAAAAGAAUCUUCUGUGUGUUCCUGGAAAUAGCCACCUCUUAUUGCAGUCUCCCUUUGUUUUGCAAGUUAUCUUUAAGUACUAUAUAUUAAAUCAUUACAAUACUGCCAUUUAUCAGUGUCUCAAGAGUUAACAGAAGGCUUGGAGGGUAUCUAUGGGAAAGCCUUGAGAAGGCCAUGGGUUACCAUUGGUGAGCUGUUCAUCAUUUGGGUCUUCCAAAUUACUGGAGGCCAGAUUGUUAAUAGUGUUAUUAGAUCCUUAUGUCAUGAUGUCCUUUCAUAAGCCCUGCUUGAUUUAUGGACUGGUGGAGCUUUUACAAGCAGUUAUUCUGUGUUUGGAAAUAAGCAAAGACAAUCUUAGUCAAUGUGAUACAAUGGAAGGAGCCCUGGACUAAAACACAGGGCAUCCGUGUCCUUUCCAGUAAUAUGUUUUGUGAUUCUGAGUAUUAGGUUGCUACAUCUGGAUUGUUGGGCUUCUAGUAUUUUCACAUAUAAUUUAGUGAAAGAUUUUUAAACAAGCUGUUUUCUGCAUUUAGAAUUCUUCUCUUGCUACCCACCCUGCUGUUCUCCCAUGUCCUCUGCCUUCUCUGUACCAUUCCUUUGCCUUCCUUGCAGCACCAUUUCCUCCUUCUUGUACAUGGGAAAAUACAAAACCUACUGUUAAAAUAUGCCUAUGUGGAGAAAAAUCUUGGCCAGAAAUACUAUCCAAAUCACAACAGUCAGUCCUUUGAUGGAUGGGAAGGAUAAGCAAAUGACUAGACCGUUUUCUACACUUGCAUAUAUAUUAUAAAUUACAUAUAUAUCAUAAUGGAAAAAUUAAACAGGUUUUUUUUUUGCCAACACGUGGUGGUUCUAAUAUAUCAACUCUUUUAUUCAUACUGACAGAAGCAAAAUUGUAACAUGCCUUAUAGAAGUUAUAGUUACGCUAAAAUCAUUAACCUCUUUACUUAAAUAAGUGAAAUGUGUUAGAAUGUUGAAUCUGAUUCUUUCAUUAAUAGAAGAAAAAUUUUACAUGUAUUAGUGGAUCACAAACAUGCUAUUUGAAGGCUGCUUUCUUAGCUGCUGACUGUUGGCUAGUUCAUUCAAUGCCAGGGAGCCUGCUCAGGCUUCUAAAGUUUACAUGAAGGAAAACCCCAAUUUUACAUCACUUUUGAGCUAGCCAUCUUGUAAAUGGGUGAUGGUGAUUAUCUUAAGGGAUCCCUGGUAAAUAAGUGUGAAUUGCUGAAUCUACCACUUUAUCACAAUAGUAAAAAAAAGUACAAAAAAACCCAACCCCAUAUUCUGCUCUUAAUAAAUCAAUAAUGUCUUCCAAAAGUAUCAGAAACCUACAUUUAACAAUCAUUUUCCAUUAGUAAGCAAGCAAGGAAGUGUGUGUGGAGCUAGUUCUGUGUGCUUUAUCUUCUUUAUGGAAAACGACUGACAUAAAACUGAGAAUGUUUUUGUUUUUGAUAUAAUCUGUGAGAAAAAUAAUUUGAACUUUGUUUUAUAUGUUUUUGGAGGUAUUAGUGCUUUGGUUGAAAUACCUAAGAACUGUGUUGUGGCAGCAGUUGGCAAAGAACUGAUAAUUUUCAGGUUGGUAGCACCCACAGAAGGAUCACUAGAAUGGGAUAUUCUUGAAGUUAAGCGCCUCCUUGAUCACCAGGAUAAUAUUCUCUCAUUGAUUAAUGUCAAUGAUUUGAGUUUUGUCACCGGCUCCCACAUCGGAGAGCUGAUCAUCUGGGAUGCCCUGGACUGGACCAUGCAGGCCUAUGAACGCAACUUCUGGGACCCAUCUCCACAACUGGACACCCAACAAGAAAUAAAACUCUGUCAAAAAUCAAAUGACAUUUCUAUUCAUCAUUUCACAUGUGAUGAAGAGAAUGUAUUUGCUGCAGUUGGAAGGGGUUUAUACGUGUAUAGCCUUCAAAUGAAGCGUGUGAUUGCCUGCCAGAAAACUGCACAUGACUCCAAUGUCCUGCACAUUGCCAGACUUCCAAACAGGCAGUUAAUCUCAUGCUCAGAAGAUGGCAGUGUACGCAUUUGGGAGUUAAGAGAAAAACAGCAGCUUGCAGCUGAGCCUGUACCAACAGGUUUUUUUAACAUGUGGGGAUUUGGAAGAGUCAACAAACAAGCCAGCCAACCUGUUAAAAAGCAGCAAGAAAAUGCUACCUCAUGUUCACUGGAGCUUAUUGGAGAUUUGAUUGGACACUCAUCAUCUGUGGAGAUGUUUCUAUACUUUGAAGAUCAUGGACUAGUGACGUGCUCCGCUGAUCAUCUCAUUAUUUUGUGGAAAAAUGGAGAGCGAGAAUCUGGAUUGCGCAGUUUAAGAUUAUUUCAAAAAUUAGAGGAGAAUGGUGACUUAUACCUUGCUGUCUAGUUUAAGGAAUUAAAAAUACACAUGCAUGAACCUUGAACAUCAAAUAUCGGGUACUACUCUGAAAACCAUUAAUAUAUUGAUCACUUAAAUUGGUAAUUUUGUCAGUCCAUAAAAUUCUACAUGUUUAAAUUUUUUGUGGACCUACCAACCAGGAACAUGUUGCUUCUCAGGUCCUAGUAUAUCCUCCAAAGAAUAUACCACAAGUUUUUCCAUUUGACUUUGAAGUGGUGAGUGUGUGUUUUGAGCUUAUUUUGAACCUAGACCCUUGUGAAAGGUACAGAUAGAGGUAAUAGUUAAGUUAUGGCAUUUAUUAGAAGUUUUAUUAUUUGGCUUCCUUUAGAAUUAUUGUGAAGUUUAAUAGCCUUUCUCCUGCAAAUUUUCCUAGUCUUUAGUAACUGUUAGUGUUCCAUAUAGCACAAACUUGAAUCUCUCAGCCAAAAAAAGGAACAUAUAUACUGUUUAAGUAUGGCAAGUUUUUUUUUGGUACCAAUUUGUUUAGAUAAUUUUAAAAAUGUUUUUUAGUUCUAGCUACUAAAACCUGUAUGAACUCAAAUGGAUAGGCAUCUUGUGAGGGUGUAUUUUUCCCAGUGUGAAUUGGCUUGAAGAGCCAUGGGCUAAAUGGGUACUAGAACAACAACUGCCCCUCAUGUACGCCAAGGAUGAGCUCUAGAUCAUUUGAGAGGCACAGUGUUUCCAGAGUCAGGGACUGCAGCUGAGCGCAACUGCCCCAUCUGACCACUGACUCAAAUACGAACUGCUUCAGACAGACUUCUUUUAUGUAGUUCUUUGCAGUGUCCAUUGAGACACUAUAACCAGCCUUGUAACAAUAUGUUUUCUCCUUUUGGUGCUAAAAAAUAAAAAUAUUACAAAGUA